UCAGAACACAUUCGGAGAACAGUUGUCAUCCAGUUCGUAUUCAUUCGUUCGCUCUUGGAAGCUGCUACAUUAUUUUAAUUGGUCUAGUGGUGAAAUUAAAAACAAAGAGUGAUUAAUCUUUUAAAAAAAAGUGAUUUUGUGUGUCGCAUACCUCGUAUACAAUUUCCAAAGGAAGGAAAGGCAAUUAAAAUAAAGCAGUAACCAAUUGUUUGAAGAUGAAGAGAAUGAUGCAACUGCUCUCUCGACCGGACCGGGCUUGAUGGCUUGGCAAGUGUCGUCCGUGGCAAAUUAACACACAAAGAAAAACUCAAAUACCUACCCAGGUAUAAUAAAAGAAAACAAAAACAUCUACACAUUCAGCUUAACAAAACUCCCAUCAGCGCGUUCUGCCAAGAUGCAUCCGCUAGUUGUGUUCCCUUUAUCAUCAUACAUAAAGAACUUCAUUGCAUCACAAGAUGAAUUCGGCGGUGGAGGAUAGAAACGAGAAAACUGUACCAGAGUACCAUGUACCAUCAAUGGCAUCUUAGCUACUCGUACAUAUAUCUCCAACUUGCUACACUCGUCUUGUGUGUGAAGUGUGUGAAAUAGGGUGCGGUCAACAAGCGCAAACAAGGGAUUCAUAUGCGCUCGGGUCGAAGUAUCGAAGUGAAAAUCUGUAUCUGAUAUGAUCUGUGUAUUGUGUUUCAACCGCGUUUGAUUGGGAAUCCGGCGGAUCCCACUUCAUAGGAAGAAGUUUAAUUCUCUAUUUUUUUUUAUAAAUUUUAUGUCUGCGAUAUUUUGCCAAACAUACAAAUUAUUUACAGGUGUUCAGGGUUUGCUUGUGGAAUUCGCUAGUGAAAGUGUGUUAUUUUCCCAUGUCUUAUGAUCAAUGAAAGGAAAUAGUGCUGCCCUAUCUCUCCCAAAUUUGAAAAUGUAUCCCUCAUGUGCUGUACCAAAAAGAAUCUCUAAAACCAUGUGUUUUGUUAUAUGAAAUUUAUAUAAUUGUAUAGAAUUAGAAAAAAAUGUUAUAUGUACUUAUGUUACGAAAAAUGUGAUAGGUAUUAAGUUUUUAAUAGUUCUGUUAGAAAUCUGGAGAUUACCUGCCAUAGCUGGAAGCUGGAUGAAACUAUGAUCACAGUCCCAGUAUCCUUAGUAAGAUGGAACAAUACUUUUCGAACUAAUUAUUACAUUCUAGGAACCGAGACAAUCAUAUUCUAGUCCCGAAAAAGCUGUCUGCAUCCACAAAUCAAAUCAAUAAGCAAGCACACAUUGGGGAGAACAAUUUCGUUAUGAAUCGGAAAGUCUUCAUGUGGUGGCCAAAAAGAAAGGAACUUUUAGUUAAAACAUCUUUGCCUGUGCAUAAGUCCCCAAGACUGUAACGGUUUUUAAUCAAUACGUCAAAAGAAUGUUUUCUUUUUUCUUCAAAACAGCUCCAUGUGUGCUGUCUUAACUUUAUGAAAUUUUCGCUUUUAUAGUUUAAAACUGAGGUGCUUGGAGCAUAAUUAGACUACUGUGCAACCUUCAACGGACACUAAGGGAAUAUGCGGAGCCACCUUUUUACUCAGUAACAUUAUCGAACAAAUCUUGACCAACUUUUUUUCUUCCAACACCAUGUGUGUUGUUUUAACUUUAAAUUAUCUGACUUUUGUAGGAAGUUUGACUUGAAAAGACUUAGUCCCAAAAAUAAUGGGGAAACACCGGGCGUGUUCUUUUAAGUUUGGAAAAAGAAGGUAUUUAUCAACAUCCACAAGUGCUUGCGCUUAUUAUGCUUGCCAAACUACAACACUGGGUGUGUUGUCUUAGUUUGAAAAAAAAAUUAUCUCCAUAAGCAUCCAGAUCAACAACACGUGCCGUAAAACCUUAACCUAAUUUUUAAAAUACAACACCGGGUGUGUUGUCUUAACUUUAUAAUUUUUACGCUUUUAUAGGACGCUCGUAGUAAAGUCGUUGAUCCGAACAUAGUGAACAAACAUUUAUGGAAAUCAGCAAAUAGAAUGCAGAUCGCAAUAAUCCGUAAAGUGCUUGAUUUGAAUCAUUUAAUACAACACCAUGUGGCGUUGUCAUAACCUUAUGUAAUUUUGAAUUUUGUAGAACAAUAACGCGAUGAAAGCCCCAAGAUUUAAAACUUGAGUACCGGGAGUACCAUUUUAAAAUCUAUUUAGCGGUUCACAUUUACAACAAGUUUAUCAAGAAAAAGAAGACACCAUCAGUUGAAAGCGAAGACAUUAGUAACGAUUUGAAUAUUUUUUAGUCAUAAAUGGUUGUUUUUGCAAAUACAAUGCCCCUAUAGGUAUUGUCAUAAAUAUGUUUUUUUAACUAUGCUUUUAUAGCUUUAACGAGGAUAUUGGCUCGGAUACAAACGUGAAGAUUUCGAGAACGCAAUCGAUAACAUUUGGGAGUAAAAAAAAAACAAAAGUAGAAUUGUAGACAUUAACUUCUUAAAAAAAAACAAUAACUGCGCAGAAAUGUGCUGUCAUAAUCAUAAAGUUCUCGCCUUUAUAGCCUUUUUCGAACAAUUGCAGAAGAUGCCACAUAAGUGUCGUUUAUGCUUCGUUCCAAAAAAUGCGCAUUCAUAGCUGUCUUUCAACACUCUUUUGAGUCGAAGAUUGGAGCCUAUUAGUAAUGCACGCUUUGGAAGGCUAACGUAACGCACGGUAUUGAUUUCAUUUCAAUCGGACGGACUUAAUUUUUCUUUCCAAAUCUUUUUGCCAAACAUUUAUUUUUUAUUUGAAGGUUUUUUUUUCGAACAACAAAGUUUUUUUCUGUUCUUGUUAAAGGGAACCAAACUUAAGGAUCCUGCACGAACAAUUACCAUUGCGUAUUGACACCUGUGAGGCAGAUACUUAGAAUAACUAAGAGUUGAGAUGAUUAACAGCCACAGUUUUAAUGGCAUCAAGACUCCUUUUCCCAUCUUUAGCAUUUUCUUGUUUAAUAUUUAUUUUUUAGACAUUACCUCUAAGCUAACCAAUGACAAAUUAAAACGGAACUCAAGUAAUGUCUGCAAGAGGAUAUCAGCAACAAAGUUUUUCAAGUUUUGUACUGCGGAUUAGACUCCUGCUCCUGACUAAAGAAAAACAUGAUAAACAUUAACAAGCCCGAAUUUUCCGUUCAUGUUUUUUGUAAGUUAAAUGAUAUACGUUGCCGUAAUAAUUUUAUUUUAUAGUGAAGACUUGUUAAGAGAGAAAUAAGACGUGACUGACACGUGACCGCACUCAUCAUUGACGUCAGCGAAGUUUUUGAACUUUCAUAAUUAUUUUCAGAAAACUACAAGAUAAGUUGUAUUUCUUUUCGACUUUUUCCUCUGCAUGGCGAUUUCUCUUUUUUGUAGAAUAUUUUCAAAAGAGUUAUCUCUUUGGCCUAAGACCCAAAUGCUGGCGAUUAUGAACACACACUGCUGCAGAUAAAUUAAAGGGAAUCAAAACAACAAAACAAUUAAUUUAAUUCUCUGGCCUGUGUUCUAAUUGUGGUAUUUCAAACCUGUCCACAUUUUUCUAAUACCCCUCAACUGUAAGUGAUUUGAAUCAACAUUUCUAUUCUAAUUGUGUUAUAAACCUAUAUUUAUUUCAAAUACUAUUUGAUUUAACCUUUUUUGGGAAGUUUUUAUUAUUAUAAGAAAAUUAAAACGAAAGAAAAAAGAAACAGUGUAAAAAUUCUUAUAUUCGCAGUAUCCACAUCAUUUUAAAAAAGUGAUUAUUUUAAAUAAUAUGAUUUUUAUUUGUCAAACAAAAAAGAAGAAACAAUAACUGAUAUCUUUUGAAAUACAGCAGUGAAUGCUUAACAAUUUUUCGUAAAGUUUAUUCCAUGACAACACAUGUUUGUAACUUGAUGUUUUUUGUUUGUAGAGAAACUUAACUUUUGUAUUAUAUUAUACAUGAAUGCAUAUUAUGUUUUUAUAAUAAUUAAUGUAUUUGAAAAAGCCAAGUUUAAACCCAAUCAUUAUUACUUUAUUGUAUCAAAUGACUUUGUUUCAUAAUAAUUUAACAACAUACAAAAUACUUGCAAGCAAUUAUUUAAAUCUUUCCACUUGUGCAUAAGUCAAGACGCUUUACUUUGUUUAUAUUGCUACAAAUAUCUAUCUUCAAACUGUUCAGAUCAGAUGCGCUUGCUUAUUAUUUGAUUUUAUUAAUACAUCUCAAUAAUAUUGAAUGCCAUAUUUUGUUUAGGUUUAAUUUUGAUGUAUGAACAAAAUAAUGAAUGUAUUAUAAUAUUUAAUGUGGGUACAUGCGAAAUUGUAAAAGAAUCCAACAAAUUUUCAACCUAUUUAAAACAUUGUUUGGUAGUUACCUGAAUUUUAAAAUGUUAAUAUUCCCUUUUAUGGCAUAAGAAGUAGAAUAUUAAGGAUUAUUUGCAGAGAUAGAGAGAGAGAAAAAGAAAGAGCGCACUAACUAACAGAGGAAGGUCACUAGGCGUUGAAAGGGGUUAUAGAGGUAUUCCAAUCUGAGGCGUAGGUGUAGUCUAGGCUCUGCAAUUCCAUUGGUCAGUAAUGGGUUACAUCAAUCAACACGACAUCAAUCAACGACGUUAUAUCCGUGAGACGACGACGAUAAACCAGGGCAACAGAGAAUGCUGGGAAAGAUUCUCAUCAAUAGUUCCAUCCAUAUCACAAACAACUUGGCCAUCAUUUGAACUUCAAAGCAAUAUUCCGUUGGAAAGUCUUCCUAUCUAUCAGUUGAUCGAUCGACGGCAGCAGAAAGUCCUGUCGUCUGAAGACUUCUUCUCAAUUUGGCCAGUACUUAAUUAUUCCUGAGGAGUGAACAAUAUCCUAUUCCUUAGAAGAACCAGCCAAAACCACAAACGGUAAAACAUGGUGUAUUUUAACGACUGAUCAAUAUUUUUCAGUUCGAAUGGGAACGCACUUGAUGUUUGAAGUCUACUCGAGACAAACAAUAUCCGUUUGGCUACGCAGCAGUUCUCAAUAUUGUGUUGGUCGUAAUUAUCUCCAACCAUGAGGCUUCAAAUGUUCAAUCAGUCCAAAGUACAUUAAAUGGUUUCGGUCUGUCGGCCGCACACAUGUUCCAAGCCGUUUCAUCAGGGUAACAUGAUGUUUUUAAUUGUGGACAAAACCUUCUCCGUAUAUUCCAGUUGAAUCUCGACAAAAUAGUUGCAGAGAAAUUGUUUCAACUGACAGCACCUUACACCAUCAAGCUUAUUAGCAUUUUAAAAUGACACCAUCUGGGACAGGGCAAAUGAAAUCGAGCAACUCUUCCCUAGCGUUUUACACUUACACUGUUAAGUCUAUAACAUUUCUCGGACACAUCUUGGGUAUCUUCAGUUUUUAUUUUUGGAAGGACCCUACAUCUGGUUUAAGGCGUCACCAAAUCCUUUGAUUGCACACACACAUUAUUCAGUUUUCCUGGUAACAAUCUUGCGACAUCCAAUUCAACUCCUACACACUCGGCGGCGUCUGGAGUUUCUGUCAGUUCCUGUGAAAAGCUUCGUUUAACUAUAACUAACUGGUAACAUUUUUGAGAUAUCUUCGAAACACCUUGAUACUUUCAGUUAAAACUCAACUCUGGAAGUCCUCCUGAGAAAUGAUAAUUUACAAUAUAACCAUUUGAAGGUAGCUUUCAACUAAGAAAAUUGUUGAAAGCUCCAUUGUUCAGCAAGUUCCCGAAGGCAUACUCAAGUUCCAUUCGAAGACGAAAUAUACCUUAUGUAGACAUCCUUGGCUUUGCGGGUAACAUCUGUGAGAUAUUCUGGACUCAUUUCGACUCUUUCAGUUAUACAACUAAUAAAUGGUGCCCCAUUAAUAUAAUCCGGCUCGAGAAGACAAUACUGAAUAUGAUGUUUUCCGAUUGACACUAUUUAUCCAAUUGGUAAAACCCUUGAGAUACAUAUAUCUUUCAUCUUGGUACUUUUAGUUCAAAUUUGAAACUGGGUUAUUGCGAGUCACCAGUCCAAAUCUACAAAUGAAGCAAGAAUCAAUUUUUGCACAGUAAUUUUGGGAUAGUCUGGCGCAUCUAUAGGGAUCUGCACGUUGAGUAAAUAGUUCACUCAGUUUGAAGACAUCUUAUGCCGAUACACACCAAGAUCCUUGCUUUACUAUUCCUCUGGUAAUAUCUUUGAGAUAUUUUGCAACAAAAAGUCUUCGUUUUUUCAGUUCCGUUGACAUCCAAGCAUUUGAUCGUCAUGCUUUGGCUUAAAUUUCUUCAUUUUUAUGUUGCCGAAGCACGAGUUUAACAAAAGGCUUCUAGUAUCUCACAUCACAUGUAACGGGCUGAGUUUAAGUAGACUUUCAACACGAAACAGGAGUUGGCUUUCUGCAAAUGAUGUAUAGAGCCAUGAAAUAUCAUUAUUGAGACAUAUUCCUCGAAACAAUCAAAGAUAUGCUGCGUGGGUAACUACUGAACAAAUAACAUUCGCAAACAAAACUAUUCUUUCAGACUUAUCAAGAGCAAAGUUUUCAUUAAAACAAAGAUUUGGUGCCACCUCUCUUGCCUUAGUUUUGCAAAUAUUCCAGCUUCGUGAUGAGGACACAUGCUGAGUAUAAUUAUCUCCUGUUUCUAAAUAGCGUUUUAAACAUCUCCCGAUAUGUCGAGUUGCUUGCACUUGAGGAAGAGCUGAAGCAACUAUUAGUCUUUACAUACAAGUGUUUACUUUUUUGAAGCCUUCAUCAUUCUAAUCUUGAAGAAUUCAUCAUUACCCAGUUGAUUCAUCAUGUGAUGCGUAAAAUUUUAGCCCCGAUUUCAAGGCAUUUUUAGUCUGGGUUAUUUCACCAAGUUUAGAACCAUAAAACCAGCGUGGGAUUUACUGUAAUGACGGCGGCGUGGGAAACACACAUUUUGACUGCAGCGAGGGAUCCACUGACGGCGGCGUGGGAAUCAAAAAGUUGUGACUGCAGCGAGGGACGGACGGGGUUGUAGCGGCAGUGCCAGCGGCGAGGACCAUGACUGCGGCGUGGGACGGUAAUAGCUGAUGCGGUGGACGGCGGCGUGGGAUACACAAAUGUUGUAGCGGUGACUGCAGCGUGGGAUUUUUGGGAGCACUUGGACAGCGGCGUGGGAUCUCUUAAUAAUUUUGACUGCAGCGAGGGAACAAGUAAAUGUUAUGCGGAAAAGAAGUCAGCGUUAAAUUGCUACGGGGUCGACUGUAUUGAUAUUUAAAAUAUUUCCUGCUAUUAUGCUUAAAGAGUUUUACAUUCAAAAUCACACAAAUUCACUUUGAAUAAUCAACAAAUAUUUCCAAAGGGAUUAUUAACUUCAUUUCAUCAAAGUAAGAUUUUUGAAAUAAUUAAUCCCGACUAAUAUUUUAUAUCAAAACAUAACUUUUCUUAUCAAAUUGAUUCAAUAGACGACAUCUACUAGAAAUUGAAAUGGACCAAAUUCAUUGAUACUUAACAUUUCAUCUUGUACUGGUCUUUGAGUUUAUCAUCCUUUUUGUUUAAAUAACUUGACAUUGAGAUAAUUCAGCAAUAUCCUAACCUUAACUUAAUGCAGAUAUUUUUAAGGGCUAAUGUGUAGAAUUUUUGUUUUCACUGUAAUAAAGGUAUUUUUGAAAAUAUUAAUUUUUAAAAUAUAAUAAAAUUGAAAUGAGAUAAAAUAAAUUAAGUACAUCUAUUAUUAAAAAAGUAA